rnacentral:rRNA from 1 species
UACGUAGGUCCCGAGCGUUGUCCGGAUUUAUUGGGCGUAAAGCGAGCGCAGGUGGUUUAUUAAGUCUGGUGUAAAAGGCAGUGGCUCAACCAUUGUAUGCAUUGGAAACUGGUAGACUUGAGUGCAGGAGAGGAGAGCGGAAUUCCAUGUGUAGCGGUGAAAUGCGUAGAUAUAUGGAGGAACACCGGUGGCGAAAGCGGCUCUCUGGCCUGUAACUGACACUGGGGCUCGAAAGCGUGGGGAGCAAACAGG